rnacentral:tmRNA from 1 species
GGGGAUGUAACGGAUUCGACGGGGUGUCGGAUUGUUGACGUCGCAUGUCGUGCUCAAUCGGUGGUGCACGUAAAUACAACCGGUAUUGCAAUAAAUGCAGAAAACAACUACGCUUUAGCUGCCUAAUUAAAUUACGCAGCUCAUCUUACAGAGAAUGUGCCUGUUCAUUUUCUGUCGGGUGUCGCAAACUGACAGGAUAACUCGGAGGGGUGUACUUGACCAAAGAGUGAGAUCUCUAAAGUAAUCGGAUUCGGAUGCCUGUUUGUCGGCUAACCCAAAUCUUAAAAAAUCAAAGACAAACUAAACAUGUAGUGGCUCAGCGUGAAGCUCUUCGGACGCGGGUUCGACUCCCGCCAUCUCCACAA